AUGAUGAGGUGUGGAAAGACAAUUGAAUGGAGGGGGGAUGAUGAGGGUGUAGAAGUGGUGACGUAGCAACGAAAUGACAGAAGUUGGGUUGGGCGGGCGUAAAGCUGGAUCGAUCGAGCGGUGGUCGGACACAGCCGCUGCUCUCCUCUACCCCACCCACAUUACCCACGGUAUGUCUGCUUGCAUGACCCUUUUACACCACUCCUCUUUUUUUUAAAGAAACCCUCUUCUAUCCCUAUUUAUUUAUUUUCUUCCCUUUCACUCCGUACCUUUAUCCUGUAACGUCACUUGUUUCUGUGUUGGAUGCAACUAACGAAACUUCAGAAACAUCAGAAAUGCAGUCAGCAUCCCUGUCAAUAGAAUCUCUAGCGUUGGCAGUAUUAUUGUGUAUUCAGUGUGCGCGCGUGCGUGCGUACGUGUGUGUUUGUGAAAUCAAAUGUCACGAAAAGAAGAAUAUUAUAGUAAUUCGGUGGCGUAAGCACUGGCAAUAAUGUGUUUCCUUUAGUGUUGAACUUUGUAUACAUGACUAAUUAUUUGUUUGAUGUACAAUAUUUGUUCAUCUGUGAUAGAGGAUGGUGAUCUUACUUCGAAAAUGCUCCCAGCGUCUACUCAGCAGAAGUGAGGAACAGCUUAGGAAGAAUAUUUUGAAAAUAGCAACGAAAAACAACUACUGCACGUCUGAUGAAGGCACCGACGCGGAAGACUAUGUACUCAUGAACUUUUGAGAUUUGUUUUGAACCCGUUGAGUUCGUCCGACCUCAGGUGUGAGCGCGACAGACUGAGAAGUCCUCUGCAACAGGCUCCGAGCAAGAAGAGGAUCAACAUAGCAGUCAUGCUCUACAUCUACCCUGUAGAUCCGAAUUUGUUUGACACUAGGGGACAAAUUCGGUUCUAGAGAGGUUUGUGUGGUGCAUACAAAGCAACAUGCUAGGUUAUCUUUUAAUUUGAAUUCUUUAUUACCUAUAUACACACAAACUUGGAACCGCAAAUAUUUCCCAGUGUAAUCUUUGUUAUCUUCAUAUAUCACAAGUGGCAACUAACAUUUUUUAAAUUGAGGUUAGCUCUUUCCAAGGCACCCAAGAGAGUAAGUGUCUCACCCCCUCACCUGAGGAUUGAAACAUAACCAGCUUCUGAAACGCUGUGAUGUAUAGUUUUUAGAAUGCCUGACGAUGGACAAAGUCCGAAAAACCGACAAUUCUGAACACCUUAAUUAUUUUAGGCAUGUUUUUUCCCAUUUCUAUUGUCGUGAAUUGGCUUAAUUCUUAAAUUAAGUCUAAAUAUAUCUCACUCUGGUGUGCUACAAUAAACAUGUAAUUUUCGAAAAUGUCUUUCUUCUGGAAUAUAACGCUGUAUAGUUCACUGAGUGUCCACUAACUUUUCCAAGAAAAAGUUUGCAACCAUCUUGGAUCUGCUUAUCACUUGCUUUCACUCUGGUUUCUUGCUAGCCUUAUUUCUCCACCCUGAAGAUGAAGGCUACAUUUUCCUUCUAAACUUCGAAUGAGCUUCAACAGACUGAACAGCGGUAUUUCCCAGAAGAUAGAAUCUUCAUAAUCACGGUAGUGGGAACGGUGUUUGGGAUAUUGUCCACUUCCUUGAGUUUACUAAAACACGACAUUUUCUAAACUACAUACGUUUCGGUCUCCAGGUGUAUGAGAGGAAAGUUUUCUGAUUAGUUGGACUUGUAGAAGGAACUGGUCUAAAGCACCUGAUUAAGAAAACUGUUCCAGUGUUCCAAAUGUUAAGUUCGUAAAAACUUAAGAGGAGGGACAGUACAAAAACUAUUAUUGCAGUGCCUGACAUAAUCCUUUCUAAUGGCCUCAACUGAACAGGAAUAUUUCCUUCCUCUUUUAAGUGUGUUUCAUAUAGACACAAUAAGUAACGAGACCCUACAGAGUAUAUGGAGGAUUUUCUCUAUUACACUUCGAGCCUGAUAAGUAUCCCAGUGUGAGAAUGUGCAAAGGGUGGUACAGAUUCCAAAAUAAUAGUAUUUAUUUUUAAUUUCAGGCGUCUUUAAAGUAUUUCUUUCUUGAUAUUUUUAUAUAAAAGAAUGAAUCGCAUUUAACUCAGUUACGCGAGACAGAUUCAAACAACCAGAUUUUGAAAGUUCGGUGGUGUGCUGCUAAAAAUCUCUAGCGACACUAUCCAGUCCAGAUUCAAAUUCUUAACUGUAAAAUAAGGAUAUUUUUUAUUGCUAGUGGGGUGGGACUAAGUCCCUUUUACUGCGGCCACUUCUGGCCUAUCGUACCAGCCCCAG